GAAGUUCUAGUUAAAUAAUAAUAAUGUCUUGUCAAGACAUAGUUACAUAGAGUGAACUUCU
rnacentral:tRNA from 1 species